rnacentral:rRNA from 1 species
GACGAACGCUGGCGGCGUGCUUAACACAUGCAAGUCGAACGGUAAGGCCCUUCGGGGUACACGAGUGGCGAACGGGUGAGUAACACGUGGGUGAUCUGCCCUGCACUUCGGGAUAAGCCUGGGAAACUGGGUCUAAUACCGGAUAGGACCCUGGGAUGCAUGUCCUGGGGUGGAAAGCUUUUGCGGUGUGGGAGGGGCCCGCGGCCUAUCAGCUUGUUGGUGGGGUGAUGGCCUACCAAGGCGACGACGGGUAGCCGGCCUGAGAGGGUGACCGGCCACACGGGGACUGAGAUACGGCCCAGACUCCUACGGGAGGCAGCAGUGGGGAAUAUUGCACAAUGGGCGCAAGCCUGAUGCAGCGACGCCGCGUGAGGGAUGACGGCCUUCGGGUUGUAAACCUCUUUCAGCACCGACGAAGCGCAAGUGACGGUAGGUGCAGAAGAGGACCGGCCAACUACGUGCCAGCAGCCGCGGUAA